rnacentral:rRNA from 1 species
CUCUGUGACUCCUACGGGAGGCAGCAGUGGGGAAUAUUGCACAAUGGGCGCAAGCCUGAUGCAGCCAUGCCGCGUGUGUGAAGAAGGCCUUCGGGUUGUAAAGCACUUUCAGUUGUGAGGAAGGUGGUGUCGUUAAUAGCGGCAUCAUUUGACGUUAGCAACAGAAGAAGCACCGGCUAACUCCGUGCCAGCAGCCGCGGUAAUACGGAGGGUGCGAGCGUUAAUCGGAAUUACUGGGCGUAAAGCGCAUGCAGGUGGUUUGUUAAGUCAGAUGUGAAAGCCCGGGGCUCAACCUCGGAACUGCAUUUGAAACUGGCAGACUAGAGUACUGUAGAGGGGGUAGAAUUUCAGGUGUAGCGGUGAAAAUGCGUAGAGAUCUGAAGGAAUACCAGUGGCGAAGGCGGCCCCCUGGACAAAGACUGACGCUCAGAUGCGAAAGCGUGGGGAGCAAACAGGAUUAGAUACCCCUGGUAG